rnacentral:snoRNA from 1 species
GAGUCAGCCAAUUAAUGCGCUUCUUUGAAUGUGUUCCUGUAGAAAUUUAGAAACAGCUGGCAAUAGUGAUACCAUUUUGAGCCUUAAAGAUGACUGAGUCCCUCAAAAUGGCUACAACU